AGGGCAAGUCUGGUUAACAUAGCAGCCAGAUGUUGAUAUCAUACAAUGCAUGAGAGAGAGUACUAUUAGUGCUCUCUUGUUGUGGUGUGUGAUAUUGGCAGAAAGUUGGAGAUAAGCACCAACUGUACAACCGUAAAUUGCGGGAAACCCCUAAAGCCUAUUCUACCGCGGCUAUGAGGAUGACUCAUAGUGCAGCAGGUGCGGAUAACGCCCACCGGAUGGUAAUAACGAAUAGGAUGACCUUAGUACCUCCACAUAACAUAAUAACAAAAGGUCACAAUGGGCAAUCCGCAGCCAAGCUCCCAUAUGUUGGGAGAAGGUUCAGAGACUAUAAUCGGAUGGGCGCAAGCUUAAGGUAUAGUCCACUCCCACUUCGAAAGAGGUGCUAUAAAGCUAUUAAGAAGUUUGCUUACUUCCUAGGGUUUUAUAGAUCCGUUGCUUGUAUACAAUAUACGUGUAUACAUCAAUACCCCAAGAGGAAAUGCUUGGUUGGAAGGAUGGUAGCAAGGGCCAGCAGCCGCGGUAA
rnacentral:ncRNA from 1 species